ACUCCUACGGGAGGCAGCAGUGGGGAAUAUUGGACAAUGGGGGCAACCCUGAUCCAGCCAUGCCGCGUGUGUGAAGAAGGCCUUCGGGCUGUAAAGCACUUUCAGUGGGGAGAAAGGUGAUUCACCUAAUACGUGAGUCAAUUGAUGCUACCCACAGAAGAAGCACCGGCUAACUCCGUGCCAGCAGCCGCGGUAAU
rnacentral:rRNA from 1 species